rnacentral:rRNA from 1 species
GGAAUUACUGGGCGUAAAGCGUUCGUAGGCGGUUAUUUAANGUUAGAUGUGAAAGCCCCGGGCUUAACCUGGGAACUGCAUUUAAAACUGGGUAACUCGAGUUUAGGAGAGGGAAGUGGAAUUUCAGGUGUAGCAGUGAAAUGCGUAGAGAUCUGAAGGAACACCAGUGGCGAAGGCGACUUCCUGGACUAAAACUGACGCUGAGGAACGAAAGCGUGGGUAGCAAACGGGAUUAGAUACCCCGGUAGUCCACGCCGUAAACGAUGUCAACUAGCCGUUGGGCCUAUAUACAGGUUUAGUGGCGGAGCUAACGUAUUAAGUUGACCGCCUGGGGAGUACGGCCGCAAGGUUAAAACUCAAAUGAAUUGACGGGGGCCCGCACAAGCGGUGGAGCAUGUGGUUUAAUUCGAUGCAACGCGAAGAACCUUACCUACCCUUGACAUCCAGAGAAUCUGUUAGAGAUAGUAGAGUGCCUUCGGGAACUCUGAGACAGGUGCUGCAUGGCUGUCGUCAGCUCGUGUCGUGAGAUGUUGGGUUAAGUCCCGUAACGAGCGCANCCCUUAUCCUUAGUUGCCAGCAUGUAAUGAUGGGAACUCUAAGGAGACUGCCGGUGU